UUUUAGUAACAUUCUGAAAGACCCCCGAAGUGGGGAGACCCUCACUCAAGUCUUGGGAUGAUGCGACCCCCCAAGAACUCACGUGAGACC
rnacentral:pre_miRNA from 14 species